rnacentral:rRNA from 1 species
GAUCCUGGCUCAGAUUGAACGCUGGCGGCAUGCCUUACACAUGCAAGUCGAACGGUAACAGGUCUUCGGACGCUGACGAGUGGCGGACGGGUGAGUAAUACAUCGGAACGUGCCCAGUCGUGGGGGAUAACUACUCGAAAGAGUAGCUAAUACCGCAUACGAUCUGAGGAUGAAAGCGGGGGGACCUUCGGGCCUCGCGCGAUUGGAGCGGCCGAUGGCAGAUUAGGUAGUUGGUGGGAUAAAA